rnacentral:lncRNA from 1 species
UUUGUCUUGGAGCGGCGCGGUCAUUAAUUACUCUCGAAGUUUACCCCCUCAUUAGUUAUACAAUAACUGACGCGAAGGUAAAGGGGCAAUAAUCGAAGGUAAAGGGGCAAUAACCGACGGCCGCUGGACUUCGCCACCUCUAUUAAGGGUUGGGCCCACGGCAAUAGCCCAUCACCCGAAAGCAAUUGACGGACAGGCCUAAAAGCCCACAUGCCAUCUGCAUAGAACAAAUCCAACUCGCUCAAACCGUAAGACCGGGCUCCACUUGGACCUCUCACUCGAUGAUAGAGACCGGCCUUGUUCAUUACCUACGUAGGUCGGAAGCUUGGCUCAUAGGUUAAAAGCAGAGCUCAGGGUUACGACUGAUCCAGCUCGAAAAAAGAUAAAUAAAAAGCUCAAAGACACAAGCAGAUGAAAGCACGAUAAAGACCAGCCCUGCUUAUUACCUAAGAAGGUCAAGAGCUCGGCUCACAGGAUUAAAACAGAGCUCACGAGUACGACUAGUCCAGCUCGGAAAAAAGUAAGUCAAAAGCUUAGUUGGCCGAAUGAACUCUAGUUCUAAACGAUUAAAGGGGCAAGAAGGAGAAAGCAAUA